ensembl:lncRNA
CCGCCGCCUCCACGCCGCUUCCCCCCCCCACCACCCCCACGGGCCCCGCCGGGAGCGGCGGCGCUCCGCGCCUCGCCCCGUUGCCGCCGCCGCGCGGGGCGCCGGGGCCGGGCGGAGGGAAGAUGGUGGCGGCCGCCGGCGGGUGAGUGUCACUGCCGCGCGCGCGUGGCCGCCGGGAGAGCCGUGGCGUAUCGACAUAGGCGGCAGAAAAUGCGGGAGCUUGUUGUGGAUGUUGCAGUGGAGUGUUCAUGGGGAAAGUUGCUUUUCACAGGAAAUGCAGGAACAAAGUAAACAACAUAUCUUGAAUUACUAAAAAAGCUGGUUGCGUCAGAGUAAUGUCAAAGUGCUUACAGUGCAGGUAGUGAUAUAUAGAACCUACUGCAGUGAAGGCACUUGUAGCAUUAUGUUGACAGCUGCCUCAGGAGAUCUUGCAGGACUUCAGAGAUUGGAAAGAAGAAGCUGGGGAGCCAACAGGAUGUUUGAUUAUCAUGAAUGACAUAUACAUGCUAAAAGGAAUAGACCAUGGAAGUUGGAUGAAAUUAAGCUGAGAAUUAAAAUAACCAACUGUUCUUCGUGUGGUGGUAUUGGCUUCCAGAAGUGGCAACAGUGAGAAACUUGAGAACUAGGUCGCUCACAUAACACCUCAGCAGGCUGGAACUUCAGCUCAUGCGUGAUUCAUUAAAGAUGCCAGAGUGCCAUCUCCAUAGGACAGCAAUAUCACCUUGUUUCAUUGCGGUUACACUGCAUGUGCUCAUCCUCACUAACCUGUGGAACUGGUGCAUUUAUCAUUGGAUGCUUCUCCCAUGAGAUUUGAACACCCAGAACAGCAGUUAGCUGCUUCUCUCUCUCAUUCACUGAUGAGAGAUCUUGAGUAUGCUCAGUCUCUACUGAUCUCAGAUCCUCAUCUGUUCACUUUGGGCCUUAGCAAAGACACAACUGAUGUCUAGGUCUCUCUGUACAGCCUGUAUUGUACUUUCAUAACAGUAAAAGUUACAGUAAGGGGGGAAAAAAAAGGGGAAAAUGAUUAUGGCAGAUAAUCCAGUCAAAUUUUGAUCCAGAAGUUCACUGUUCCCAGUAAUGCGUAACCUUGAGAAAAUACCUUGGGUAAGGGAAUGUUGACAGAGAUAAGUAAAAGGAUGAUUUUUAUGUUUUGAUGAAGAGUACAUAAGAAGAGGAAUGUUAGGUCUUUAGACUUGGAAGCUUUGUUCAUUGUGCAGCCUGAUGAAAUAAAAUCAUAACAAAUCCAACCCAAAUGCCCUUGGAGUGUCUGAUCUUCCCAGCUGAUUUGUCUAAGGAUAUCAGAAAUUAACAUCAAGAAACGUAGAUAUGAAUUGACAGAUUAAACAUUCAAGACUUUUGCAGAACAGGUUAUUUGUUUUUUUUAGUAUGAGAUAUUUCCAAAAAUAGAGUUUAAUCUGGAUGCAUCAUGAUGAUAAACUGAAAAAGAUGAAGAUAAUGUUUAUUUUAAUUGACCUAAUUUUAUUUAAUAGCACAGUUACUUCUAAGCUUUGGCCAUCCUUCGGAUGGAACAUUUUAUAGAUACUUUUACUUCUGGCCUGCUGAAUUGUCAUGUUCCAAUCUUAUUGUCCAGUACUUUCAUCAGGAGUUUUUGUCUUAAUAUGUAGAACCUACACAACAAUAUAUGAUGAGCAAGUUUUCAAGGUUAUAGGUUAUGAGAUCCCUUUUCUAGUGUAAGGAGAUGUGGGCUGCCAUUAUUAUUUUGCCUAAGAUUCUUCUGACUUCUUGAUACCAAGCUGGAGAGAAUCUUCUGACUUAAUAUUUUGUAAUAGGUAUCAGGAAACCUGUUUCUAAACUUGAGUACAUCUAAGAAAGGUCACCUUCAGUUAGCUCCAAAUCAGGGAAACUACUAAAUGUUGGUGCUACCAUCUUCAUCCUUAAUGGGAGUUGAUAAAUUAUAUAAGCAAGCCAGGAGCUACCUGAGGUUCUUCAAGCUUCAGGAAGUGGUCUUUCUUUUCAGGUGCCUCUUGUUCUCCUAGUUAUGCACUUUUUUUUUACUGUGUCUGUGUAUAGAUAAUGUGUAUCUGUUGUAUCUGUAAUGUGUAAAUAUAUGCACAUGGGAAUGAUACUAAUGCACAAAACCUAAUGUCUCUUUACAGUAUAUGGCUGAGAAUAGGAUGGCUAGAAAAAUGCUUUCCUGUGUAGUAUCUGCUACAAAUAUCAGGAAAUGGAGGAAAAUCAGAAAAUCAGGAAAGAAUCACUUGCUAAACAGAGUGUAUGGGAACUGUUGAGUCAUGGCCUGAACCACUGAUGGAGCACCUAGGGAAAAGACCUCGUCUGCAAGAACUUUUAAGUUAAGUUCAUGUCAUUAGAGGUAUAAAUACAAUAUUAGGAAGUAAAUAACGAUCUUUAUUUGAUCAAAUACAAAGUUUACAGAAUGUUAAUAGGAUGACUGUUACAAUGUGUGUUAAGUGAGAUAAGAAAGUUGGUGACAGAACUUACUUUAUGCUUCAUAUAAACUGCUCUGGGAAAGAUGCUAGCUAGCUGUUGCUAUGUUUGAACAGUUGGUGGCUCCAAUGCUUUGCAGCUGUCGCUAUACAAGUCGCCAAAACAAGUUAAUUCAGUUCUAGCUGUGUAUAUUGAUCUAGUUAGAAAUCUAAAAUCAGAAUCACAGACCUACUAAAUAAACACUCCCAACUUUAAGUCAUUUUGUAAAUACUUAAUAGUUAAAUAAGCAUGAAUUUCAAUAUCCUGUCAAGCUUAUGAUAAUUUAAGAGGCCACCUUGCAAAACGGCUGUUCAGAAUCGGUAGCUAUGUUCCUACAGCCAGCAUAGCUAGCAAGACUGCUUCUACUCCAUAUUGCAGGAUUGUACAGGUGAGACAGAUGACAGAUACCAUGACUGAAAGGGAGGCAGGGGGGAGUUGUCAAAAGGUCAGUUCCUGGGAAAGAUGCAAAGAAAAUCGUAUUUACUGUGCAGUCAUUCCUUAAAUUGAGCCUCACAAAUGUUUAUAUGCUUUAAAAACAUGUUUAAAAUAAGGGGUUUAGUGGGCAGUGGGUUUUGAGAGAGCAAGAUUAUAGCAACAGAAGAGCUGAUGAUGGUGAGCUGUCAUUUUUGGUGGCUGCAAGAACUAUUAAUAAAAGGAGAGGUUAGAUAUAAUAAAUAACUUUGUAUAAUGUAUUAGUUCAGAAUUUUGAAGAAAGCUUUGACUUAAAAAAUAUUUAAAUAGAAAUAGAAAUUUCCAUGGAUGCAUAUACAUACUUUUCUAAUGUGUUUUUUUUGCUUGUUUUUAAUUCUUGGUUCCAGAAAAUGUCAUUGGAGCAAUGGAACAUUCCUCCCUGAGUUUUCAUAUUCCGGGAAAAAUAAAGUGUAGAAUUAUUUUGUUGGGAAACUAGUUCAUGUAUUUUAACUGAAAUAUAAAUAUUAUGCCAUCCUAAACUAUUGUAUGUACUACAUAUUCUAAUUUUCCUUUGUCUUGUUUCUCAUUUGGAUUAUAUUAUUGUGUUCCCUUCUUUAAACUUCGGUAUCUUCUCAUGGGAACAGGACUGCAGGACAAUCAUGAGGACUGCAAACUUCAGAUAGGGUUUAGCUCUCACAGCUAAACUGGGGUAGAUAACAACUUGAAAAGAUGUAGGCCUGUUGUUAGAUUUGGCCUGGUUUGGCCUAUUACUUGACAAGGGGGUGAAGGGACCCAUGGACCCCCACCCUGGGAAAGGGAGGGGAAGGGAAAAGGUAGGAAAAUGGGCCUGGAUGAAUGAUAAUGGCAGCAAUGGCCUAAGGAAAAACUUGAUUUAUUAAAUACAGUAAUGGAAUGUGAGAUAACGCAAUGUAGUACAGUAUGAUUGGAAUUGAAGUUAAUAAAUCAAAUGAAAUGAGAGUUUCUGAAACCGAAGUCCAUACUGUAGGCAAAACUGCCAAGGAGCAAAGAGAAAGGUCUCAUGAGUCCCAGUCAGUUUUCUCUUACCCUCCAAAUGAAAAUGGAAAAAUGAAGGCUUCUGGGAGUUGUAGUUCAGCUCAGUAUUCUCUUCUGAGACGAGGAGACUGGAAAUACCAACAGUGCACAGAAUUGCAACAUCAACUCUUUAACUCCCAGUGCGCUACAUGAUGUUGUAGUGGAAUACUGAUCCACUGAUGUGAAAAACCAUCAAACCAUGGCACCAGUGAAAUCAUGAAUGCAGUGACCUAGGUCUAUGUCAGUGCAGUCUGUAGCAUUUAUUUUUCUAACUUUGUAUGAUUAAAUAUUAUGCACUGAUGAAAUUCUGUUGGGGCAAAGGUUGGGGUUGUUGCAGUGGGGGACAUCAGUUGCCACAUGCAAAUGAAAUUCCUUAGGAAGACCUGUUUUUUAAUUUCUUCUGUCUCCUGGAGGAGACAAAAAACAUAGAAACAAAAAUAUAGAAACAGCCCUGCUGAGCAGGAUUUGUUUAUACAUCACCCAAAAAUGGAGACAUUAUAUCUUAGUAAUAUUUCAUCAGACAAUAUACUCUAGCAAAAUGACACCAAGGAAAAUGUACCAUUCAACACAUGCUCACUUUUUUUUUUUGCUUUUAACAUUAAGAUUUAUAUAUAUUUUGUAUAGAUACAUAUUUUGAAGUCAUCCAGGAAUUGCACUGGCAGAGAAGGCUGGAAUACUUUUACAGGAGUACUAUUUACAGGAAUCGUGGAGACCUUCUAAGGUCUUUCCAGGUUUUGUUUGUGUUUUUUUUUUUUGUCCUUGCUAUUUCUAAGAAGCACACAUAAAUUCUGCUGAAACUUGAGCUUAAGCUUACAUGCCUGCAUUGUCUUUACAGUGCUCUGAAACACAAAGUGAUUAACAGUAGGCCAAACUCUCGAAGUGUUUACAUGCUGUAAUAUCUAAUUCCUGUUUGUACAAUGGCUUUGUAAGAGCCAAAGUAGAUAUUUGCUCACAUGUAAUAAAUAGCUUCCAUGAAAUGUAUGUUAAUGCUAUUGGCAAGCUAGGAAAUAAAUGCAGUUUUCGGAGAUGGUCUCUCAGGGUAUGCCUUGAGCUAGUCAGCUUACUAGCUGGGCGCAAUUCCAGCUCAUAAAAGACUUUGUUCCUAUGUUAGAAGCAAAUACAGUUUUUUUGUGUGGCAGUAAAUUGUGGUGUAAGAGUUGGUGGUACCUACGUAUCUCUGUAGGUAUGAUGUAUUUAUUUAAUAAGGAGGACCAAGGCCUAUCUCUAUACAUUAGUUUCAUUUAUUCACUAUGAAGUAGGGUAGUGUACUAGAAGUACAACCCAGGAAGCAGUUCACGGGCAGCAGAAUCAUGAAACCUAGUUGUACUGCAGAUGGUUUUGUUAUCCAAAGUAAUCCAACUUCCACUUGAGGCUUUUUAUGUAACUGAGGUGUUUCUGAUAUCCCAUACCUGUAACACCAAGGAAGUACCCGUUAACAAGUUAUUAGAGGCAGAUGGACAUUAACAUAAUUACGCAGUGUGAUUUUUAUGAAGCAUAAGGUUGGAAAUUGAUUUCUAGUGUUGUGAAUUUCAUUACCAAGUUCAUAAACGAUCUGUGUAGUGGUGCAAAUUGCUUAAUUUAUAAGGAGAGCACGUGAGGUAGUUAGGGAGGCUCACAGACUUUCAGUAGAAAGUUAGAGCUCUAUUUUGUUUGUUUAUAGUGUAGAAUGAGGUCUGUGCUAGCAGGUUAAGACAAAAUACUUCUUCAUCAGUAGGAGAAGACUGGCAUCCAGUUUUGACAUCUAGUACCUCAACUUGGUGAAAUUCUGCUCCCUCUCAGCCCAGUUGCUCCAGCUGUUACAGUACAUGUUGGGAUAACCUCAUAAAGACUUUGUGAAGCCCUGUCACUUUGCAAAUGCACUAAUAUCCUGCAUGUUCCCUCAGGAGAGAUGUGGAAAGUUUGAAUUAUUCAAACAAAUGCUCAUCUUGAAUGUGUUAGUGGUAUUAAAAUAAAUCAGGAUGUUUGCACCUGUUUUCUUUGAUACUUCCCUACUUGUGACCAAAUUAUUGCACUUUGGGCUGAACUUGAGAUUUAGUAGGUUCACUUCUAUGGAUUCAGGUGGGACCUUGCGAUGGGGUAUGUCACCUACUCAGCACUGGUAGGGUGUAGCUACUAAAUUUCUGCUUCUGAACAGAUGUCUUUGAGAGUCAGCAUUGAUGGAAACUUAAGCCUUUAAUGACUUCUAGCUGCCUAGAUUUGCCCCAAUUUUGAAUUACUGAAUUCUGAUUCAGUGCUAGUGAAUCAUUCCCCUUUAACUGCCUAACUUAGAUUUCAUGAAUGUGGAAUUAAGACUCUAAAUUAGAAGAAAUAGAGUUGAGAUCCCUCUGAGCAAAACUCAGUGCAGAACGAAACUUGGAAUCAUCACAGAAUCAUAGAAUCACCAGGGUUGGAAAAGACCCACAGGAUUACCCUGUCCAACCAUCCGCCCAUUACCAAUAGUUCUCACUAAACUAUGUCCCUCAACACAGUGUCCAAAUGUUCCUUCAACACCUCCAGGGUCAGUGACUCCACCACCUCCCUGGGCAGCCCAUUCCAGUGCCUGACCACCCUUUCAGAGAAGUAGUAUUUCCUAACGUCCAGCCUGAUUUUUCCCUGGUGCAGCUUGAAGCCAUUCCCUCUAGUCCUAUCACUAGUCACACGAGAGAAGAGGCUGGCCCCCAGUUCUCUUCAGGUAGUUAUAGAGAGCAAUAAAUUAUCCCCUGAGCCUCCUCUUCUCUAGACUGAACAAUCCCAGUUCCUUCAACUGCUCCUCAUUAGGCCUGCGCUCCAGACCCCUCACCAGCUUUGUUGCCCUUUGAACGUGCUUCAGGGCCUCGAUGUCUUUCUUACAGUGAGGGGCCCAAAAGUGGACACAGAUUCUCAAGCUGUCAUAGAAUAACUUUUCUUCUAUGUACUCUAGACCAUACUUUCUUGGAAAAACGUGAGCUGAGGGUUGUACCUGUGUGGAUAGAAACAUUUAUUUAUUUAUUUAUUUAUUCCUGAGAAGACUGAAGUAAUGUUAUAGGCAAACUAACUUCCAAUUCUGCUGGUACAGCAAGGUAUACAGCAUGGUAGAUGUAUACUAAGGACUACAGAGACUUGAGGAAAGACCUUUUUAUCUUUGGGCAUUGGUUUGUAGAGUACGUAUGAUUAGUAGAGGGGUGCACUAUGGUAAAAUAGGAUCUGAAGUAGUGAAGAGUGCUGUAACUUGGGUUUUAUUGUCUUAUGAAAUGUUCUGGGAGGCCUAUUUUUAAAAAUAUUGUUAAUGUUUUACUCUAAGUGCAGCUUUAAGUAGAAUGGAUUUAGCUUUACCUUAUUUACCUUACAAUUUGUGUAGGUAAGGUUUAUGCACAGUUAACAGUCUUGUGAUUCACUGUUGUUUAAAAUUUACUGAAUGUACAAUGUAAGAUUAUUUUUUUUGUUACUGUUGCGGAUUGCUCCUUUUUGCAUGUUUUGGUCCUCUUCUCAUUCCACUUGGGAAAAAGAGGGUGUGCUAACAUCUGUUAUAAUACACACUCUUUGUUCAGUUGCAGGAAGUUGAAGGAUCAAGUGUAUUUUGUUUUUAUGCAUGUCCUUUAGCUUAUUCCUCCUAGAAAUAGUUUUUCAUCUAGUCUGUGCCUGCAUAAACUGAAAAGCUGGGCAUCAGCUACAGAGUUAACGCUUUGCAAGUUGUGUGGGCAAAAGCAACAGUAAAUAACAGAAGUUGAGUGAUACUGCUUUGUGUAUGUAUAAAUACUCAUGUUGUGACUUACCUGAUAACUUAUUAGCAUGCUGCCUCUUGUUGAACAGGUUUCUGAUCACAGAAUCUCCUUGAGCAUCAUUGUUCUGAUUAAGUCAAAGUAUUGCAAACAUAUGGACUAAGGAAAAUUCUCAUCUCUAGGCACAAUAGAACUUGAAUAUUUUAUAACUUAAUGGGGAAAGGAAGAGCUAUUCCCUGUACCUUAUGUGCUUAGAGGAGACCAAAAUAGUUUAAUCUUUUGCAAAUGCUUCAAAGAAGAAUACUGGAGUACUAACUGAAUUAUAUGGGGUUUCCAUAUCUCCCCCACCCCCCCCUAUUGCUGAUGCCAGACUGAAGCAAUGAUACUGAAUGUGGAUUUUUCAUAUUAGGAUUAGAUUGCAGAACAAUUCCAAUUACAUGACACUUUUUAUUCUGUUACACGUGAAUAUUUUGUGUAAGUUGCUGCUUUCCUUUGUUGCAGUCUUCCUUAUUGACUAUUCCCUCUCUGGGAACGGUUCAGAUGUUCUUGUCUGACAGUGUUUUAAUUUCUUAUUUAAAAAAAAAAAAAAAAAAAAAAAAAAAAAAAGGAAAGAAAGAAAGAAAAAAGGUAGGAGGGAGCUCUGCCCCCGCCCGUCCCGCAGCCGGCAGGGGCGCUCGACGGAAGCCGGAUGCGGUCGCUGUGCGCUGGGCUUCCCGGCUACGCGCCGGGCGGCAGCGGGGCUGGCUGCGUGCUGCGGGGCCGCUGAGCGGUGCGUCAGGCAGCAGCAGCACCACAAAGCAGCAAUGCUUCGGGUCUUCGGCGGCAGGUACCGGCCUGCUGAAUUCUCUGUGAAGAUCACGCGAGGAGUUAUGCAGGGAUGGGGAAUUGGGAUACAGAGUGGUAGGGGCAUAAUGCAGUGCAGAUAAACAUCAAAGUUUAGGUUAACAUAGGGAAUAGUAGUAGAAUAGCAUUUGUAACAUGGAGGGGGGAUAGUCUACAAUGCUCCUCUGUGACUUGCAGUUAUUUCCCUGGCGUAGUCUCAUCUGUUCCCUUGUGAGGUCUCGGCUGAUAAAUCACUACAAUCACAAAGAAUCAAACAAAAUGUUUUAACAUUUUCAUUAAAAAUAAAAUAAAAUAAAAUUUAGUAAUUCAUUAAGAAAACCCACACUGACCCGUGUUUGUAGAUAAAUUCUCAAACUUUCGUAAUACUGUUAUGAACUCUUUCAAUAAAACAGUUAAUGGAUCUGUAGAUGAGGUCAACUUAGAGAUGCACGUGAAGUUUUACUGGCGUCACGUAAGUUUAUGGGAUCAUUGGUAGCAGAGCAGGAUAGUGCUAUGAAUGCAAAUGGUGCACAGCUUUUUCAAUUCAAGUCUUCUAGCUUAAUUAUCCUAACCUAAAAUACAAGGAUUUUCUUUAUAUACUUACCAUAGCAACUGUACAGUAAUUCUGCAUAACUGAGGGGGGGGAGGAAAGGUGUUUUGUUGUUGUUGUUGUUCCCUGCUGCUUCUAUAGCUUCAAGGAGCUCCAUGUGAGUGCUGGAUUUCCCCACUAAGUUCAAAGCAAGAGGAUGGUAUCAGAACCAAGAAGAGUUUAUGAAUGGUGGGGGUUAGUCCAGAAGUAGAUGCCUGAAUUUUCCAUAGGCACAUGAUGUGAACAUAGUAGUGAACACAACAGUACACAGUUGUAAUAAGAACUUCCUUAAUUGAUGUGAUGGAUGUAAAAAUAAUAGAUAGGACUCAGGACUGAGAGAGCCUUGAAGAAUGACUUAAAAAGAAAGCUUAACAGAUGUUUGAACUACUUUCAGAUAUCUGAAACAAAGUAGGAGAUAGCAUGAAAGUAUUUCUUCAUUUUAGAAGCUGGAAAUGGAGGCAGGUGCUGCAGUCCUUUGGAAAUCAGCAUCGUGGGUGGGAUGGGAACAGUAAAGGGACUUGCAAUCAAAGCUAAAUGGCCUGUGUUUGACAUGGCAAAAAGGAUGUGAGAGAAGCAGAUGUAAGUAAAGCAAGGAAAAUUAUUUUUGUAGUAGCUCUCUAAAGGGAUACAGGGAGAAUAGCACAGCCAAAUAAAGGGUUUUCAGUGCUUACAAGCAAGAUGACAGUCUGAAGAAGAAUGUUAGCUAUGUACGUAAGUAAAGUUAGUGCUGUAUGCCAAGAGAAAAUAAAGAGAUAGAUAGAAGAUGGAAAUUUGAUUUCUAACAACUCUUUUCGUUAACCUGUAGAAUUGGAGGAUAGAAGUUUCAGUGAGUCGUUACCAAUAGGAGAUAUGAUAAAAUGCCAGUUUGCUUUAAAUCCAUGGGCUCUGGGAUCAUCUGUUGCUGAUGGCAAACUUCUGUACAGUUCAAGAAACUCACAUUGUAUUUCUUAUCUGGCAAGACUUUUCCCCUCUCUUCUAAUAAAUUAUUUUUGUAUCUUUAUUGUGAACGAGCGUGUCUUGUAUUAGGUGUUGAGGAAUCACUUUGUGGUCCUCAGGAUUUCCUCUACCAUCUUCAAGUUGCCAAGUAAGAUCCCACGCUUUCUGCUUCCCACAUCCAAAUUGUUUUCCCCAGUGAUAUUCUUCAAUAUUCAGAAGUGUUCUCUUUAAGAACAAGUGUUUUACUGAGUGGCAAGGGAUUUGCUAUCUACUAACAGCGUACAGACAAGGCAUUGAAUUGUUAAUUAUUUCUAUUUUGAUUGAAACCAC